rnacentral:rRNA from 1 species
GACGAACGCUGGCGGCGUGCCUAAUACAUGCAAGUCGAGCGGACGGAUGGGAGCUUGCUCCCAGACCGUCAGCGGCGGACGGGUGAGUAACACGUGGGCAACCUGCCUGUAAGACUUGGAUAACUCCGGGAAACCGGGGCUAAUCCCGGAUAACUCUUUCCCUCCCAUGAGGGAAAGCUGCAAGAUGGCAUCUCGCUAUCACUUACAGAUGGGCCCGCGGCGCAUUAGCUAGUUGGUGAGGUAACGGCUCACCAAGGCGACGAUGCGUAGCCGACCUGAGAGGGUGAUCGGCCACACUGGGACUGAGACACGGCCCAGACUCCUACGGGAGGCAGCAGUAGGGAAUCUUCCGCAAUGGACGAAAGUCUGACGGAGCAACGCCGCGUGAGUGAUGAAGGUUUUCGGAUCGUAAAACUCUGUUGUCAGGGAAGAACAAGUACCGGAGUAACUGCCGGUACCUUGACGGUACCUGAACAGAAAGCCACGGCUAACUACGUG